UAUUUUGACUAUACAAAGGUAUUGUAAUAAGAUUUUAAUUGAAUGCUAAAAGAAUGGAAAUUUAAAAAAAAACUUUUUUAAAAAUAAAAAUUGAAUUUUUUUUAAUUUGUGCAAAAACAAUUAUACUUAUUAAAGACAAGAAGACCCUAAGAAUUUAAGAUUUUACAAUUAAAAAGUUUUUUUUUAAAAUCUUGAUUGGGGCGAUCAAAAAAUAUUAAUAACUUUUUAAAAUUUAAAUUGAUCUAUUAUUAAUAAACUAAUGAAUUAAAUAC
rnacentral:rRNA from 1 species